CUCCACGUCAAAAAUAUAAAACACCUCUCUAACCCUCUAACCAAAAUAUAGGCAUACAACACAACAAGACUUGCAGCAAGAUAUCCCCUCUCCUGCAAUCUGCAAAACCACUUUGAACAAUCCUCAAAGUAAACCAGACUCCACGAGUCUAUCCCCUGUAGUCACAACAGGUACACACAGCAAUCACCACAGAUGCUAAACCAGAUUCUUGAUCAAACCAGAAAUACCUCAAUGUGCAGAAUGUGAUCAAGCAAUGAGCGCGCAAUCAAUCUCCCUUUCAAUCUUCUUCAAGAAAGAUCACCAUCGUCUUCUUGAUGAGUUCUUGGAGCUCUAUAAUCUCUGAGAAUUCAAUCUGAAACAGAAUGUGAAAAUGUUAGAUCAUCAAAAGUCUCUAAACAACUUCGUGUUCCAUCAAUUUAUAGAUUUCUGUUUAAUAGACAUUCUCUGAGUCGAUUAAGCUACUAAUACAGUCGACUAUGUUAUGACAAUUAUAACAGCUCAGUCAAACUAGUAGCAUUUAGUCAAACAAAUUAAAAACUCAUUCAACACAGUUGACCUACUAUACAAUGCUCAACUAACUUUUUAAAAUAUAGUCGUUAUUGUUCAUGAGCAUAACAAAAUUUCAAACCAAUCAACUAAUACAAUCGAAUAUGUGGCGCACACAGUCGACUUCGAUAUGUUAGAGCAUUUUGAAAUUUCUUCUCAAAAUCUCACACAACACUGAUUCUCAAAAUCUGUACAAAGAUUUUAGUAUAGUCGAUUCAAUUAAUAAUGUAGUCGACUUUACUGCAACUUUGCCACACAGUUAUAAGUUCACAAAAUUGCUUGUAAUUUUCAUGCAUUAAAACAUGUGCAAUGCAUCCAGAAAUGAUGUAACAAGUACAAGCUCAAUAAGUAUGCAUUCAUAUAGCAAUAUAUCAUAGAAACGUGUUCAACAGAUAUAUCAAACAUUCAGCAUAAGAACAUGUAACACAAUGUCAACACCCAAUUUCGUCUGGAUUGACUAUAAAUAAUAGAUCUCUUUUAUUUUUGUCUUAUCUUAUUUUAUUUCCUUUCAUUUUCAUUUUAUUUUAUGUUAUUUUAUUGUUACUAUAUUUUAUUUAGUUUGAAAAAUAAAGAAAAUGAAUGGAUGAAAAAAAAAAUAAAAAAAAGAAAAAAAAAGAAAAAAGAAAAACAAAAAAAAAAAGAAGAGAAAAUGAAAAAAAAAGGAAAAUUGCUAAGAAAAAUGAAUGAAAAGGUGCCGGCAGCAGCGUCAUCAUUCACGUCCUUUUGGAUUUAAGAGAUGACUCCUGGAGAUGGAGUUUUUCAAUCACAGAUGUAGUUUUUCAAUCACGAAGAAGCGCUUUUUCAAAGCUUUAUGUUAUCACCCAUUUUUGGAUGGAGAUCUUUUGCUCAAUGACCUACAUUAUCUCUUAUUACCACAAGUGUAAAUACCUUGUUUGACGGUGAGGAGCAGGAAAGGACUAUGCGAGUGGGUUGCAGGAAGCAACCAUUGUUAUUUUCAUGCUUAAAAUCAAGUAAAACACUUAGUUGAGUCAUGAGAGAGUCAAAAGUUGGUUUUAGAGAUAUUAUGCUUGUCUUUGCAUUCACUACUACAAAAAAGUGCAUAGAUAGCGCUUUUAUUUUUUAUUAUAGAUAGCGCUUUUUAAGCGCUAUCUAUGGCAGAAGAAGCGCUAUCUAUUAGUGUCUGACAAUAGAUAGCGCUUUUUUUAAAAAAGCGUUAUCUAUUACUGUCUUACAAUAGAUAGCGCUUAUUUAAAAAAGCACUAUCUAUUGACCUAAAUUUUUUAAAAAAAAAUAUUUAAAAAAUAAUAAAAAAAUAUAAAAUAUUUGUUUUAUUAUGUACAUACCUCUACUAGUUCUAUUAUAUAUAAAAAUAAAAAAUAAAAAUAAAAGAAAAAAACAUUUUUAUUAAAUGAUUGAAACAUCUGUAACACUUUCCUAGUCGAACUUUUCCAGUCCUACCAGCUCUUUGUCUAGUAAAGGCCCUAGAUAUUGGAGUGAAAAAAAAUUACAGUUGAAGACAUCUAAGAUUUCAGCCUAAGAUGGAAAAAAAGAGUGAAGGGAAUUGUUCUAAAAAUAAAAUUACUAGGGUGACAGGUAGAAUCAUUCUAAUAAACUGAAAUAAUGAAGAAAAUACAUAAUUAAUGUUAAUUUAAAAUUUAUAGAAUAAUCAUUACAGGUGAAGACAUCUAAGAAAUCAGCAUAAGAUGGAAAAAAAGAGUGAAGGGAACCGUUCUAAAAAUAAAAUUACUAGGGUGACAGGUAGAAUCAUUCUAAUAAACUGAAAUAAUGAAGAAAAUACAUAAUUAAUGUUAAUUUAAAAUUCAUAGAAUACCAUGACUAGGAAACUAUCAAAUAAAUAUUGAAAAUUUUAAUUUUUUAAAUUCUUCAUAAACCAACAACUUGUAUAAAAUUUAAAAAAAGGACAAUAAGUGACAUAAAAAUUGAUGAAACUUCUCUAACAUUUUGAGAAAGUACAAGUGCCCAUGUAGAAAAUGAGGAUAAUGCUUAUGUAGUGGAACAAUGUUAGCUAAAAACUGGAAAGCAAAAAAGAAACUUAAAUAGAAGUAAAGAUCGACCCAAUGUUACAUUUAUAAAUCAUGUAAAGUAAAGAUAAAAGGAAGGGAAAUAGCACAAAAAAAAUCAAAUACCAUAUAGAGAAUACUUGUAAUUGUGGGAUCUGUAUAACAAUUACUUUUAUUUAUAAAGUAGAGAUACAAUACUAUGGAAAAAUUAAAUACUUAAUAAUCUGAUACCAUAUAGAGAAUACUGCUUGUAAUUGUGGGAUCUAUAUACACAACAAGUACUUUUAUUUAUGAAGUAGAGAUACAAUACUAUGGAAAAAUUUAAUACUUAAUGUAAAAUAAGAGCGCAUAAUUGAUCAGGUUAGAAUUACAUCAGUGUGUUUUAUUUUAUAAUUAUUUUAAUGUUAAUGUGGUAAUAUUUGUUUUACAUUCUCUCAUGAGUUAGUGUUUUAUCCAUCUCCUCGUGGAAAGAGGAAAGUAGUAAUUUCUACUAAUAUAGCAGAAACAUCACUUACAUUAGAGGUAACAUCCCAUUCACAAUAAGUUUGAUUAUGUCUACGGGUUAGAUGAAUCCUCCUCCUUAUUUCGUAUUUUUCUAAUCAUGUAGGGAAUUGUAUAUGGUAUCAGAUUAUUAAGUAUUUAAUUUUUCCAUAGUAUUGUAUCUCUACUUUAUAAAUAAAAGUACUUGUUAUACAGAUCCCACAAUUACAAGUAUUCUCUAUAUGGUAUCAGAUUUUUUUUGUGCUAUUUCCCUUCCUUUUAUCUUUACUUUACGUAAGCACAUUCAAUUCAACAAAGUCACAAGCAUAGUGUGUUGCAUAGUACAUGUUCACAUAAUAUCACUCAUAUACAUGUUCAGAAACAUCAACUAUAUCAAUCAGAGAAAGUGUCUGAAACUCUGUAAUGUUAUUAAUAUAAAGGUUAAACCCAUUCGUUAGUCCCUAUUUUCGCGUUUUUGUCCCACAUUAGUCCCCGUUAUAUUUUUUGUGGCAAUUAAGUUCCUAAUUGUGUAAAAUUGAAAGAAAUUGACCCUUACCGUUAAAUGCAGUUAACGGGGUUAAGUUUUAGAUUACCUGUGCGGGUGCGUUGGCCACAUACUGUGACGUGGCGUGCAGAGAACAUGUGACGUGGUUUUUUUUGUUCACGUGUCAGUUAAGUUAAAAAUUUUGGAGAUUUUAACUUUCUUUUAAAAUUAGGGUUAGUGUUAAAUGAUUACACCUGCAUAGUCAAGAACUUUUCUUGUUAAUAGUUUUGAUGUUUAUCUUUCGAAUUUGGUUGUGCAGAAGGGAGAAGGUGUGGGAGAAGGUGGUGGAGCUGAAGGUCUUGGUGAUGGAGGAGGUGGAGAACGUUUUGGGGGGCGAGAAGAUUCAUCUCGCGGAGGUGGCGACGGAGAAAGGGGAGGUGGUGGCGAAGGGGUAGGUGGUGGAGAAGUAGAAGGAGUUGGUGCGGUGAAUGAAGCGGCGUUGGUGGAGGAGGGGAAUUCUCCGGUGCCGGCGGAGGAGAUCUUUUCGGCAAAGAAUGGUAGGUGGAGGAGAAGAGAUUUUUGGGGGUGGUGAAGACUCUGCUUGGGGAUUUUCGGCAAAGAUUUUUUGGGGAUGGUAUAGGCGAUGAUUAUGAAGGCCGCGACGGAGAUUCCAAGGGUGGCGAAGACUCUGCUUCAAAAGGGGAUUUUAACAUUUCUUUUAAAAUUUAAGCGCGAUGAUUGUGGUCAUCUGCGACAGUUUCGCGGUGUUGGUGUGAUUUGGAUUUGAUUUGAGGUUUCUCUGGUUUGAAUGUAGGUUGCUAGCUCGUGAAGAAGAUGCAGAUGGUGAGAUGUUGAUAGUUGCGCGAAUUUGGUUCGUGGUCUGAUUUGGGGCUUUUCCGAUUGCAGGGUUUGAUUUGCGAUUUCGUUGCAAGUUCGAAAGGUUGAGUUGUUUGAAGGUGUGUGGUGGUGCGUUGAUGAUUUGGGCUUAGGGUUCAUGGAUUGUGAUUUGGAAUUUGUUGAAUUUGUAGGUUUCGUGGUGGAGAAUGACCAUGGUUGUCUCACGGUGGUUUCAGCUUCGUGGUUACAGGCGCGAUGAUGUUGAAGGAAAUGGUUUUACAUGAUUGCUAAGUAGUUAUCUUCUAAGUUGGCUCCGACGAAAGCCUUCAAAGACAAACAAUGAACCUACCAUUGUUCGAGAAUUGUUGGAGACUUUGCAGGUGUAAUCAUUUAACACUAACCCUAAUUUUAAAACAAAGUUAAAAUCCCCAAAUUUUUAACUUAACAGACACGUGAAAAAAAAAAACCACAUCAUGUUCUCUGCAUGCCACGUCACAGUAAAUAGGGACUAACAAAUGGGUUUAACCUAAUAUAAAUUAAUAAUUGAGUAUUAAUUUAGUUAGUUUAAAUAAAAUAUCUAAUAAUCCUAUUGUUACUAACAUAAUAUAUAUUAUUAUCUUAUAACUUACUUUACUUCAGGCACUAUAAAAAAACUGACCAUUACACCAAAAUGACUUCAAUAAUGGCUUUGUUGCAUUUUAGAUUAUUACUUUGUCAUAUUAGUUUUUAAUUAGUUACGCCUAAUAUGCCAAUUAGGCUUUUAAAAGUGAGAAAAUGUGACAAGUAAAAAAAGGAUGUUGAUUUCAGUUGGAAAUACCUCAUAGACUUAACCCAAUUUAUAGAUCAAGGGUAAAACUAAGAGCAUGCCAUUCAAGGUCCCUUAGAUUAAGCUGCAAAAAGGGAAAGAGGAAUUAGAAGUAUGAAAGAAUUACAUCAGAUGAAGUCAACUUUAUAGGAUAACAGACAUUAAGCAAAGAAAACAACCUUCAACAAUAGUAAUCCUACAACUGAU
rnacentral:lncRNA from 1 species